GGCUUGGUUAUCUCGUGGACUCUUGCAAUUAAUGGAGUGUCUCGGGUUUGUACUAUGUACUCCAAAAAUGAUCUUUUCUAUCGAUUAACCAAAAAAAAGUGUGGCAGUAAGUUUUUUCUUUAACACUAACGGAGAGGUACUUUUGCUAUCUUUCUAGGAGGGAGCAUGGAUCAGAUUAGUUCAAUUUUAUCGUAAACCAAGGAACAAAUCAAUACGUACAGAUUAUGAGUUUGGAAAAUCAAACCAACGUAUAAGAUUCAUAAAACCAAACCAAUCCGAACCAUUUAAACAUGGUUCGAUUUCCAUUUGAAGCCACGGUUCGCUUGAACCUGACUGCAUGAGAUAUCAUCUCCAUAAAACUAUUUAAAGUACUUAAAAUUUAAAAAUAAAUCAAACCAAAAUUUAUGCUAAAACUAAUUCUGUUAAAUUCACCAAAGCUCACUUAUAUCAACACACAAAAAAAUAUAAACAACUAUUGUUUUAAGUCUUAACUUCUUUAAUUAAAUCAAUGUCAAGUCACUAAACUAAACUAACUAAGAAUACCAGCUAAUUGGGUUGAUCUAAAAUAGGAAUAAAUUUUCAAAUAUAGAAUUGGAAUAGGUUUUAACUUUUAAUACAAGGAGAAGAAUUAGGUUUUCCUACAUAAAAACCUAUAUGGGAUAAGGAUAAGUUUUCAUAUAUAGGAACUUAGGAUAAUUAACUGUGACAGUAAAGGAAUACGGAGUGCACUAGAUUAUUAGAUUAAAAAAUUAUUUGACUAUUUUCACUUAUGCUAUGAGGUUUUUUUUUUUUUUGUAAAUUAGCUUGAAAUAUAAAAGGACUAACCGAAUAUAGUAUAAUAUUUGAAACUAUGAAAACAUUUAUCAGUGUAAAUUUUAAAAGAGGCCUGCCUAUCUAUACACGUUUGCCGUCAGGGGUGUAAACGAGCUGAAUCAAGCCGAACCUAGUUAUAUUUGGGAUCAGUUCGUUAAGGUGUAGGUUAGGCUCGAGUUCGGCUCGGCUCGUUAGACUUAGACUUAAACGAGCCGAAUUCAGGCUCGAAUACACUUUUUUUUAGAAUACAGUUCAGGCUCGAAUUCGGCUCGGGAGAAAUUUUUCCCAGUCCCAAACGUCAUUUGCACCCAAAAAAAUUAAAAAAAAACCCUCUCUCCUCUCUCCAUCCGAAAUCUGAACACAAACCCAGAAACCUCAAAUAUAGAAUCAAUCCUCACAGAAGCUACAAAUCAGAGCUCAAAAUCAAAUCCAGGCAACAAAUUGAAAUUGAAACCCACAGAUCGUCCGAGAUCGGAAUUGGAAAGACAAUAGAGAGAGAUUAGUGGCUCGGUUCUUCAUCAACCGUAGUCGGCCAAGUCCCUCGCCUCAUUCCAUCCUCGCGAGAUGAUGGACGACAGCGCCUUCUCCGCCGUCACCGGCGUCGAGGUGCACCCGCGAGGUGAGCCGCUGGUGUGUGUGUGUGUGUGUGUGUGUGAGAGAGAGAGAGAGAGAGAGAGAGAGAGAUUACCAGGGGGAGAGGUGCGGCUAUGUUUCGUUAU